UGUCGCCUGCACGGUCCCUCAUUUCAAGACUGCUGCUUCCCGGGAGACGAAAACUGAAAAUGGUCAGAAGAGACCCUGCUGGCUGCAGAGACAAGCAGGGCCCGGGGGCUCCCGCCGCGCAGGCACCAGCCACUGGUACGGUGGGUCCCCAGGGCAGAGGCCACCUCUGGGGGACAGCGCUUCUAUCCAACACGGAAACAUCACACGUCACUGGAGCUGAUACCCCAUCCAUCCUCAGAUAUACCCACAUCUCAGAGAUGCUAGGAUACGGGGGAAAAUAUGCUUCUCAGAACCCAUGCUCUUCCACUGUCCUUCUACGCUCCGGGGAGCGACGCCAGCUCUGC